CUCAAACAGCGUGUCAGCCAUCUGAGGGAUGUUUACAUUGGUGGUGUUGGUGGCUGACACCAGGUCUGCAACACAACCGGAAGAAUAAAAAGCCUCAGCUUUUCUCAUGACAUUAAGCAUGAGAGUACAGAGCCUCUCUGGACACUCAAGAGAGUUUUAAGCCUGGAGGAAGACCUGAUGAGCAAAGAGGUAGCAUGUGGCCAGAUUCUCACAAACGCAAUGACACUGAAGAGGGAAAAAAAAAAUGCUGUGUCAUGUCCUCUGCCUCUGGUUGCCACAUCAGACUCUAAAUCAGACAGAGAAGUAGCCAAAGUGAAGGGGCUGGAUCACUGAAUGAAUACCUAAUUAGAUAUAAAAUGUUGAGGAGCAACAUAAAGUGUAGACAAGUAACUGUGGUUAGAAUAAACAAGUCACACAGACCAGAAUCCAGAAAAAAAAUGGAUGAAAAAGUUGCAAUGCCUCUGACAUUUAUGCAUGUAAAGUAUGAAAAGCUCUCCAUGGAAAAAUUUGCCGCAAUAAAAAAAAAGAGGAUAAAUAACUUUUUUAGUAAUGUUUCUAUUUAAUCACAGUUGUAAUAAAUAGAUGGGAUAUAUGUUUCUUCAUUUUAUGAUGAAGCUAAUUUGUUAAUUACAUAAUAAAUACAAAGCCUAAAAGCCUCAAAGCUGAUUUUGGCCAUGUUUUCUUUUUAAAUGUAAUUAUUUCAGAAUUAAUUAAUUUUAACUUUCCUGGACUGCAUUUGUCGCUAUUCAUGCACAUCUCCAUGUUAAUAUUAACCAUGUCUACAUGUUUUGAUGUGAAAGGCUGACAUCAAAUAAAUUGCUGAUUUGCUUCAAAACUAUGAUGAUAUGGAAAUGGUUCAUCACUUAAUUAAAAUAAAAUGUGAAAAAUCUUAAAUAUCAAAAUAAAUAUACCAAUGCUUAAAUUAUUGCACGCUGUACUUCAGUAAAGUCACCAUGAAGUGAUUCAAUACAAAAAUUGAAAAAUAAUACAUUUUACGUGAAGUUAUUCAAUUAUAUUUGGUUAAGUAGCAUUGAUCAUUUCGGGGUUUUUUACGUGAAUUUAUUUAUCUCAGUUCAUGAUUGUAUUUUAUUUUAAUUAUAACAGGUAUAAGUACAUUUUUAACUAUGUAUAUUACAUACUUGAUACACGUUGUGAACUGUUUCUGUUUUCUGUGUCUGCUGACAUGGGGGUGGGAUUCAAAACAUUCCCUGCAGAAUCAGUGAUUAGUAAUAAUCUGUUUACAUUGAGCCCUUGAAACCCGGCCCCCAUUUCUCUACAGCCUGCUGCCAAACACAAACAGCUUCGAUGCUCUAACUCCUCUUAGCCAAUUUCUCACACUUGUUGCCUAGCUAUUUUUUUUCUAUUCUCUAAGAAAAGUCCUGUUGUCCUUCACUUGUAACCUUGGAGUACUUUUAUUCUGGGAUACCUUUGAGUGCACGCUGUUCAAGUAUUUCAGACCUAAUUAGUGAAACAACCUUCCUCUACUCCCAUUAGUGGCGACGUCUGUCAAUGUCUGCAGAUUUGCUCUCUGUAUGAGUAUGCGUAGUGUUAACUUGCCUUUUUAGAGAUCAAUACAAGAAGCAGUACAUUAACAAUAUGUAGCUUAUCUAAAAUGUAUUAUUUCAGGUAUAAGCUUCUGCUUUCAUUGGUAUGUCUGACGUUUUGUUUUCUCUGAAUGAAAACUGUCUACUAUAUAACACAUGAAACGUCACCAUAACAUUUGGCACAACAAAAAUAAAGUAUUAUUUACAGCACCUACCUUCAAAAGUGUCAAUGAAUAGUAAAUUAAAAGUGUGUAAGAUAUUGAAAGAACAUUGCAUGAUCCAAAUAGUCUUGACUUCAUCUUCAAUAUUCAGACCAGAAUUUGCUGUAAACAACACGAAAGUCUCGAUCCUUCCUUCUUUGCAUCAGCUGUUCAGUUUGCUGGUGGUGUUGUGGUUUGGGAGAAAUUGUCUUGCUACAUUUUAUGUCCCUUAGGUCCAAUUCUAUUUUUGCUGAUUCUGCACUUAAGACUGCAGUGUACUCGAGCUGGCGGCCUCAGUACUUUGCAUUAUUGUACUUUGCUUAUUUAUGAGCGUUCGUGCUGUUCUCUGCCACCAUUCUGUGGUCGUUUUUACCAUAGAGAUACUGCCAAACAUCAGACAGCUCUCUCUUCUGCAUUAUUUCUCCAUUCAUCAUCUACUUCAGCUUCACCGAGGUCUUGGUUGGCAGCUCAGUGGCUCUCAAAGGGGAUUUACCGAAGAUGCAGACGAGGUAAACAGAUGGCAUCCUCGUAAAGCUUCAGCAAAAGGGCUCUCCCCACACCCUUUCCUUCCAUAUACCUGGCUAAUGUCUGCUCCCUGGCUGACAAGUAGGAUGAGUUCUGCUUCUUCCUUAACUCUAAAAACUUGGACUUUCAAAACUUGGUGCAGUGUGCGCACCUCAGGCUGCGUACUGCAGGAUCAGAUGUCUUGAAAAAUAGAGGUGGUAGGAUUUGCUUUUAAAUGAAACUUGUGUACUGAUGUCACCAGAUGACAUUAACUGAGGUAAUUAUUUCAUGGACUGCAAACCUUUUAAUGUCCUUGUUUGUUCUGGCCUAUGUUUACAACCCACUACAAGUUUGCACAUCAGAAGCUGAAAAACAGCUUAAUGAGAUGAUAGCAGACAUGAGAACCUAAACUCCCUCAUCAUUGUUCUUGGGGAUUUUAAUGGGCACAAUCCUCUCCAAUAAACGUUCAAACUACAGAGAACAUGCUAUUUAUUCCACCAGAGACUCAAGCAUAGCGGAACAAUAUUACACAGCUUUAAACAAUGCAUAAAGGUCUGCCACCUGGGAAGCUUUGGGACUUUCUAAUUGCUAUUUUCUUAAUCUCUUUCCAACAUUUAGGCACAAACUUCUAACAGUAUUUGCAAAGAGAAUGGAGCAGUCAAAGUACAUGUUGCAGCAGGCCUUCUCUGACAGCACAGGUUGGAGUGGUUUUUAAGCUUCAGCCACUGACCUGAGCCAGCUUUCUAAAUCAGUCACUUCCUUUGUGAGAAUUUGUGAAAACACACAUAC